rnacentral:snRNA from 1 species
AGAGAAUCACUUGAACCAGGAGAUGGAGGUUGCAGUGAGCUGAGAUCACCUCAUUGCACUCCCGCCUGGGCAACAAGA